rnacentral:rRNA from 1 species
CGUGAGAUGUUGGGUUAAGUCCCGCAACGAGCGCAACCCUUGUCCUUAGUUGCCAUCAUUAAGUUGGGAACUCUAAGGAGACCGCCGGUGACAAACCGGAGGAAGGUGGGGAUGACGUCAAGUCAUCAUGGCCUUUAUGGCCAGGGCUACACACGUGCUACAAUGGCAGGUACAGAGGGAAGCCAACUCGCAAGAGGGAGCCAAUCCCAGAAAGCCUGUCUUAGUCCGGAUUGGAGUCUGCAACUCGACUCCA